rnacentral:rRNA from 1 species
UACGGGGGGGGCAAGCGUUGUUCGGAAUUACUGGGCGUAAAGGGCUCGUCGGCGGCCAACUAAGUCAGACGUGAAAUCCCUCGGCUUAACCGGGGAACUGCGUCUGAUACUGGAUGGCUUGAGUUUGGGAGAGGGAUGCGGAAUUCCAGGUGUAGCGGUGAAAUGCGUAGAUAUCUGGAGGAACACCGGUGGCGAAGGCGGCAUCCUGGACCAACACUGAUGCUGAGUGAGCGAAAGCCAGGGGAGCAAACGGG